rnacentral:rRNA from 1 species
AACGAACGCUGGCGGCAUGCCUAACACAUGCAAGUCGAACGAGACCUUCGGGUCUAGUGGCGCACGGGUGCGUAACGCGUGGGAACCUGCCCUUAGGUUCGGAAUAACUCAGAGAAAUUUGAGCUAAUACCGGAUAAUGUCUUCGGACCAAAGAUUUAUCGCCUUUGGAUGGGCCCGCGUAGGAUUAGCUUGUUGGUGGGGUAAUGGCCUACCAAGGCGACGAUCCUUAGCUGGUCUGAGAGGAUGAUCAGCCACACUGGGACUGAGACACGGCCCAGACUCCUAGGGGAGGCAGCAGGGGGGAAUAUUGGAAAAGGGGCGAAAGCCUGACCCAGCAAUGCCGGGUGAGUGAUGAAGGCCUUAGGGUUGUAAAGCUUUUUUCCCAGGGAUGAUAAUGAAAGUACCGGGAGAAUAAGCCCCGGCUAACCCCGG